ACAGCCCUCAGCAACAUGUCUGUAAAUCGGAGUAAAGGCUGUGCCGCUUUAUGAUGCUUUUAAUGUCAUCAAAAUUUAUUUUAUAACAUGUCAAAGGACCUCAGGUCUUAACUAUUCUACUUUGUAGUAAGAGGCAGGGCACAUCCACCAAACAAAAUAUGACACGAGUCAGACUUUCUUUUCUGACUCUUCUGGAUAUUUCAUGAACUGUAUUGAAAUCUUGAAAUUCCCUCUGCUUGAAUAGUCAGAGUACGAAGUUUGUGGACCUUGAUUUUUGCCUUGUUCUCUGCUGGUUAACUAAAAUAUAUUUGUACAUAAAGACUAGGGGCUUUAGAUCUUAGCUUUGAUUAAUAAGCUCAACGAAUGUAACAGACUACAUAAACCGUCCACCAUUAUUUACCAUGUCUCUCAGAGCUGUCGGCUUUUUGACUUUCAUCUAUUACUCAGUAAGAAAACCAGAGACUUUUUGCACUGUCACAAAUUACUCUCUAGGUUUAAUGAAUGGUUACCGAGGAGUAGCUUUACUGUACAGACUCGUAAGAGAGUUGUGUCAUAUUCUGGACAAAAAGAAAAAGUAAUUUGUCUCAUUCAUAACCCAAGACCUGCCUAUACCCAAACCUUUCCUACUCCUUCUUCCACGCAUGAGUAGGACCUGUUAAAGCUGCUGCUUGAACAGAUAAUGUAUCUGUUGCAGGUCCUGCUGCAUCUUUGAGGGCUCAAGUACACAGCUGACUGCUCUUAAUCCUCAACAUUGUCUAUAACAAUAGGAUAGAACGGUGCCUUAGAUUGAGAUUUAGUAUUUUUAUUGUAUCACAGUUAACUAAGAAAGCUUGUCCUUACCUCGGCCUCGACAAUCAGUCUACCUGACUAGGGCGAUUUUGUGAAUAUGAAUAUUUCUCUGGAAGAUUUACAAACCUAACAACGCCCUAUCCAUAAGAUUUGUACUGUAAAUAUAUCCAGUGUACUGAGAUGAUACAAACUGUUUAAAACAAAUAAAGUCUUGCAAAAA